rnacentral:rRNA from 1 species
UGCAAGUCGAACGGUAACAGGGAGCUUGCUCCGCUGACGAGUGGCGAACGGGUGAGUAAUGUAUCGGAACGUACCUUUCAGUGGGGGAUAACGUAGCGAAAGUUACGCUAAUACCGCAUAUUCUGUGAGCAGGAAAGCAGGGGAUCGCAAGACCUUGCGCUGAUUGAGCGGCCGAUAUCAGAUUAGCUAGUUGGUGAGGUAAAGGCUCACCAAGGCGACGAUCUGUAGCGGGUCUGAGAGGAUGAUCCGCCACACUGGAACUGAGACACGGUCCAGACUCCUACGGGAGGCAGCAGUGGGGAAUUUUGGACAAUGGGGGCAACCCUGAUCCAGCCAUGCCGCGUGAGUGAAGAAGGCCUUCGGGUUGUAAAGCUCUUUCGGCCGGGAAGAAAUCGCAUGGGUUAAUACCCUGUGCCGAUGACGGUACCGGCAUAAGAAGCACCGGCUAACUACGUGCCAGCAGCCGCGGUAAUACGUAGGGUGCGAGCGUUAAUCGGAAUUACUGGGCGUAAAGCGUGCGCAGGCGGUUUUGUAAGACAGGCGUGAAAUCCCCGGGCUCAACCUGGGAACUGCGCUUGUGACUGCAAGGCUAGAGUAUGGCAGAGGGGGGUGGAAUUCCACGUGUAGCAGUGAAAUGCGUAGAGAUGUGGAGGAACACCAAUGGCGAAGGCAGCCCCCUGGGCCAAUACUGACGCUCAUGCACGAAGGCGUGGGUAGCAAACAGGAUUAGAUACCCUGGUAGUCCACGCCCUAAACGAUGUCAACUAGGUGUUGGGUGGGUAAAACCAUUUAGUACCGGAGCUAACGCGUGAAGUUGACCGCCUGGGGAGUACGGCCGCAAGGUUAAAACUCAAAGGAAUUGACGGGGACCCGCACAAGCGGUGGAUGAUGUGGAUUAAUUCGAUGCAACGCGAAAAACCUUACCUACCCUUGACAUGUCCAGGAGCCUGAAGAGAUUUGGGUGUGCCCGAAAGGGAACUGGAACACAGGUGCUGCAUGGCUGUCGUCAGCUCGUGUCGUGAGAUGUUGGGUUAAGUCCCGCAACGAGCGCAACCCUUGUCGUUAAUUGCCAUCAUUUAGUUGGGCACUUUAACGAGACUGCCGGUGACAAACCGGAGGAAGGUGGGGAUGACGUCAAGUCCUCAUGGCCCUUAUGGGUAGGGCUUCACACGUCAUACAAUGGUCGGUACAAAGGGUUGCCAACCCGCGAGGGGGAGCCAAUCCCAGAAAGCCGAUCGUAGUCCGGAUUGCAGGCUGCAACUCGCCUGCAUGAAGUCGGAAUCGCUAGUAAUCGUGGAUCAGCAUGUCACGGUGAAUACGUUCCCGGGUCUUGUACACACCGCCCGUCACACCAUGGGAGCGGGUUCCGCCAGAAGUAGGUAGCCUAA